UGUGUAUGUGUGUGUGUGUUUGUGUGUGUGUGUGUGUGUGUGUGUGUAUAUGUGUGUGUGUAUUUAAUUUCUCAUCAGGUUUAUACUCAAAUUCUUAUUUGACGUAAUAUACUGGCAAUAGAAAUCAACAAGUAACGGACCAGUGACGACAGUAUAGCAUUUAUGAUGACAGCAGCAUCUACAAAUUCGAAAAACCAAGCAAAAAAAAUUAUAUAAUCAAAAUAACACUAACAACUACCAUGAGAUACUUUGCACAUGCAGAUGAUUCAAAAAUUGGAGUCUUCCUAAAAAUAUAUUUUAUUACUUGGUCCAAUUUUCUCCGAUUUUUGUUCUGGCGAUAUUUAGUAUUAUCACUAACAAAACAGAGUUUAUGCUUUUUUUAAACACAAAAUAUUUUCAACCUCAACUACAAGCAUUAGUAAUACGACAACCAUUACAAGUUAUGCUACCAACAUUUGUUCGUUAGUCACGUUUUGCUACAAGUAACAUGAUGCUUAGUAAUGCAUCGCGUUACUACUUCUACUACUAUUAAUACUACUACUACUACUACUGCUACUACUAUUGAUAAUAAUAAUAAUGCUUAUGUCACCACCACCACCACUAUUACUACCGCGCUUGAUAUUAAACCUACUAAGACCGCUAAUAUUCCAAUACUAAUACUAAUCAUAUUAUAUAUGUACUUGAUCAUAGAAUUAGAGUAACGUUGCUGUAUAUAAAUAAUUGAAAUUAAAUCUAGAAACAUUGGACAUUUAUUUUAUUCCAUAGUCUAUUAUUAAGUCUAAAUGCUUAGAUACAUAUUAAAAAUGUGAAAUUGUACAAUGAUUCUAGAUACAUUUUAAAGGGGAAAAUAUCGAUGUAUGAAAAAUGUUACUGAAAUUGUGUGAAAUGUAAUCAAUAAAGAAACAAUAGCAAGAACAAUAACACUGAAUAAUAAUGAUAAUAUGCGAAGUAUUCAAUGUUUGUAUCUUCAGCCAUUUUAAACUUCUAAUAACAUCAUUUGUCAUCACCCAUAUAUACUGGAAACAAUACCAAAAAGUACAGCUGCAUUUAAAUCAUUGUUAUGAAUAUCUUAAUACUUCAGACAUCGUUUUUUGUACAAAAUUACACAUGUUCAGUAAGAGAUAAGAAGGUAAAUUAUAAAGUGAUAAAUGGAGGAUAUCGUAGUAGACUUUAUGUUGAGAUUGGUGAAUCUCUUAAAGAUUUUGCAUUAACAACAGCCGAAAAACAUACACAAACACACAGAAAUAUAAUUGUGGACGUAGUGGAGUUACAACAUUUUUCAAUCUAAGUUCGUAAUUGUUUAUUUGUGUGUCAAUGAGCGAGAAAUGAACAGCAACAAAAAUAAAAUAAAAAUAGCACUAAUUAAAAGGUUACGUUGAAACCUCGACGGAGAGCUGUCAAAUCUCAAACAAAUUCUGUGUCAAUCAUGAAAAUAAAGUACAGACACACAUACACACAAGUUCAUACAUAUAUAUACACACAGGUUCGCACGCACGCACACAUACAUGAUUACAUGCUAAUGUGCUUACAUACUUACAUACACGGAAAGAUUUCGUGAAUUUUGAACAGUACAUACUUCUGAUGAAAUUUCUGUUGUAAUUAAGCAACUCGGUAAAGAUUUCUUUUGCCUCAAUAUUUCUUCAAGACAUUUUAAAGCAACAGAAAAGAAAAGCAUGAAAGAAAAAAUAAAUGGAAAAAAAAACCAAACAAACGAAAUGGAUGACAAAAAAAAUCACAAAACGUUAAUAUUUGUAAAAAAUGUUUAAAUGAUUAUUAAUGUUUGGAAAGUAAAUUAAAUGGAGAGAAAAAAUAUCCUUUAAAAUCAACUUGUUAUAAACACGGAAAACAACAACAAAAAUGUAGUCGGACCUUGUGGUAUAUACAUUUAUAUUAUUUGUAGGACUUUUUAAAGAUAUUGUAGCAACAUUUGACGAAAUUACUAAUAGAGAACAAGUGACAAAAUUUGAGACCCUUCUACACUGUCAAGGAAACUGAGGUGUUGGAUUGUUAUUAAUAUUAUUAGAUUAAAACUUUUUAAAAUGGAUCACUAACGAACAAAGGAAAAAAAGUGAAAAAAAAUAAUAGUAGUGAGCAGUGUGAGGUAGAGAUAAGCUCUAGCAGAAAACGAAACCGGUUUUCGAACUUAUUUCAUUCCUCUCACACUGCUAUUGCUUUGGGGGAAGGCAGGAAUAUUACAAUUAAUUUCUCCUUUCCCUACCUACCUUCUAAACUAUAAUUU
rnacentral:lncRNA from 1 species